GUGGGGAAUAUUGCACAAUGGGCGAAAGCCUGAUGCAGCGACGCCGCGUGCGGGAUGACGGCCUUCGGGUUGUAAACCGCUUUCGGCAGGGAAGAAGCCGUAAGGUGACGGUACCUGCAGAAGAAGCGCCGGCUAACUACGUGCCAGCAGCCGCGGUAAUACGUAGGGCGCAAGCGUUGUCCGGAAUUAUUGGGCGUAAAGAGCUCGUAGGCGGUUCGUCGCGUCUGCUGUGAAAUCCUCAGGCUCAACCUGGGGCGUGCAGUGGGUACGGGCGGACUGGAGUGCGGUAGGGGUGACUGGAAUUCCUGGUGUAGCGGUGGAAUGCGCAGAUAUCAGGAGGAACACCGAUGGCGAAGGCAGGUCACUGGGCCGCAACUGACGCUGAGGGGCGAAAGCAUGGGGAGCGAAC
rnacentral:rRNA from 1 species